rnacentral:rRNA from 1 species
AUUGAACGCUGGCGGCAUGCUUUACACAUGCAAGUCGAACGGUAACAGGCCUUCGGGUGCUGACGAGUGGCGAACGAGUGAGUAAUGCAUCGGAACGUACCCAGAGGUGGGGGAUAACGCAGCGAAAGCUGUGCUAAUACUGCAUGUGAUCUGAGGAUGAAAGCGGGGGACCGAGCAGCAAUGUUUGGCCUCGCGCCUUUGGAGCGGCCGAUGUCGGAUUAGCUAGUUGGUGGGGUAAAGGCCCACCAAGGCGACGAUCCGUAGCUGGUCUGAGAGGACGACCAGCCACACUGGGACUGAGACACGGCCCAGACUCCUACGGGAGGCAGCAGUGGGGAAUUUUGGACAAUGGGCGCAAGCCUGAUCCAGCAAUGCCGCGUGCGGGAAGAAGGCCUUCGGGUUGUAAACCGCUUUUGGCAGGAACGAAACGGUGUCCGCUAAUACCGGGCGCUAAUGACGGUACCUGCAGAAUAAGCACCGGCUAACUACGUG